GACAGAGGGUGCAAACGUUGUUCGGAAUUACUGGGCGUAAAGCGCGUGUAGGCGGCCCUGCAAGUCGGAUGUGAAAUCCCACGGCUCAACCGUGGAAGUGCAUUCGAAACUGCAGGGCUAGAGUCCUGGAGAGGAAGGUGGAAUGCUUGGUGUAGAGGUGAAAUUCGUAGAUAUCAAGCGGAACACCGGUGGCGAAGGCGGCCUUCUGGACAGUUACUGACGCUGAUGCACGAAGGCCAGGGGAGCAAACGGG
rnacentral:rRNA from 1 species